rnacentral:rRNA from 1 species
GGGGGCUGAUUUCGCAGAUCAGGCCUAACACAUGCAAGUCGAACGGGAUUAGUUGUAUUUAUCGGGAUACACGAGUGGCGCACGGGAGAGUAACGCGUAUGCAACCUACCUUUAACUGGAGGAUAGCCCCGAGAAAUCGGGAUUAAUACUUCAUAACAUUAUGAAACGACAUCGUUUUAUAUUUAAAGCUCCGGCGGUUUAAGAUGGGCAUGCGUGACAUUAGUUAGUUGGUGAGGUAACGGCUCACCAAGACAGCGAUGUCUAGGGGUUCUGAGAGGAUUUUCCCCCACACUGGUACUGAGACACGGACCAGACUCCUACGGGAGCCAGCAGUAAGGAAUAUUGGGCAAUGGACGAAAGUCUGACCCAGCCAUGCCGCGUGCAGGAUGACAGCCCUAUGGGUCGUAAACUGCUUUUAUAUAGGAAGAAACCCUUGAACGUGUUCAAGGCUGACGGUACCGUAAGAAUAAGGAUCGGCUAACUCCGUGCCAGCAGCCGCGGUAAUACGGAGGAUCCAAGCGUUAUCCGGAUUUAUUGGGUUUAAAGGGUGCGUAGGCGGAUUAUUAAGUCAGAGGUGAAAUCCCACAGCUCAACUGUGGAACUGCCUUUGAUACUGAUAAUCUUGAGUACAACUGAUGUGGGCGGAAUGUGUCAUGUAGCGGUGAAAUGCUUAGAUAUGACACAGAACACCGAUUGCGAAGGCAGCUUACUAAACUGUAACUGACGCUGAGGCACGAAAGCGUGGGGAGCGAACAGGAUUAGAUACCCUGGUAGUCCACGCCGUAAACUAUGAAUACUCGAUGUAUGCGAUACACUGUAUGCGUCCAAGCGAAAGCGUUAAGUAUUCCACCUGGGGAGUACGCUCGCAAGAGUGAAACUCAAAGGAAUUGACGGGGGCCCGCACAAGCGGAGGAGCAUGUGGUUUAAUUCGAUGAUACGCGAGGAACCUUACCUGGGCUCAAACGUAGAGUGACCAUCUGUGAAAGCAUCUUCCCUUCGGGGCAGUCUACGAGGUGCUGCAUGGUUGUCGUCAGCUCGUGCCGUGAGGUGUCGGGUUAAGUCCCAUAACGAGCGCAACCCCUAUCUUUAGUUGCCAUCAGGUAAUGCUGGGGACUCUAAAGAAACUGCCUACGCAAGUAGUGAGGAAGGUGGGGAUGACGUCAAAUCAGCACGGCCCUUACGUCCAGGGCUAAACACGUGCUACAAUGGUCGAUACAGAGGGCAGCUACCUGGUGACAGGAUGCAAAUCUCGAAAAUCGAUCUCAGUUCGGAUCGAAGUCUGCAACGCGACGUCGUGAAUUUGGAGGCGCUAGUAAGCGCAUAUCAGCCAUGAUGCGGGGAAUACGUUCCCGGGCCUUGUACA